UUCAGAACACUGAUAAAAGUAAAACAUUAUUACUGUAUUUUGGUGUUUCUGCAACUACGGUUACUUUUGACUCUCCCAAAUGAAUAAAAAUCAACCUCUAUGAAUUUCAAUUUUAACCAUCAGAGUAUGUAAUACAUAUAAACAGGUACACAAAAUGACAUUGUUGUUAAGACUUUAAUCUGUAACAUGUUUAUUUUGUAUGGUUUUCAUCAC